AAUAAAAUUGAAAAGCAAAUAUUAGAAAGGAGCAAAACUGUAAUUAGCUAGGAAACCUAGAUACAGAAAAUUAAGCGAAAGGGGGAAUAACAUAACUCUAGAAAGGCAAGACACCACAAGAAAUGAGACUGACCAGUAAGGCCCCGUCAUGUGGACAGCCACGCUAGCUGACUUGCACGUGUGGUUAGCCUCGUAAGCAGGAGGGUGUGCAGAUCAGACUGCUAGGAUUCUAGAUGCCGAUCAAACGGCUAAGGGGUAAUUUGGGAAUGAGCAGCUAGGACUAAAAGCCAGGAAGAUCGAACAGCCAGGAGAAUUGACAGUCUCGAUUUGCGGAGUGAAGAGAUCCAACCGUCCAGAUUUCGCUCAGAUAAAAAGUAUGAAAUUACUGUUAGUGAGGCUUGAUCCUACAGUCCUUUUGUUACCACGCACGCAAAGAUUGGAUAACUAUGAAAUUUAGGGGCGAGUAUGAAUAGAUAGACUAG
rnacentral:lncRNA from 1 species